rnacentral:tRNA from 1 species
UAAGGUUUUAAGUUAAAUAAACUUUUAGCCUUCAAAGUUAAAUAUACAAUAAGUUUGUAAACCUU